CCUACGGGCGACAGCAGUGAGGAAUAUUGGUCAAUGGUCGCGAGCCUGUACCAGCCAAGUAGCGUGAAGGAUGACUGCCCUGCGGGUUGUAAACUUCUUUUAUAAGGGAAUAAAGUGAGGCACGUGUGCCCUUUUGUGUGUACUUGAAGAAUAAGGAUCGGCUAACUCCGUGCCAGCAGCCGCGGUAAUACGGAGGAUCCGAGCGUUAUCCGGAUUUAUUGGGUUUAAAGGGUGCGUAGAUGGUUUGUUAAGUCAGUGGUGAAAGUUUGCGGCUCAACCGUAAAAUUGCCAUUGAUACUGGCAGUCUUGAGUACAGUUGAGGUAGGCGGAAUGCGUGGUGUAGCGGUGAAAUGCUUAGAUAUCACGCAGAACUCCGAUUGCGAAGGCAGCUUACUAAACUGCGACUGACAUUGAUGCUCGAAAGCGUGGGUAGCAAACAGGAUUAGAUACCCCAGUAGUC
rnacentral:rRNA from 1 species